rnacentral:lncRNA from 1 species
AACGAUAAUAAUACCGCAAUAAUAUUAUUUGUGAAUAGAUACACAUAUUAGCUUGAGUCGUGCUAAGCACUAUUUUAAAAAACUAUUUCAAUAAUGUGAAAUAUUUCCCUAGGAUUAAACAAGCCUACAUCUAUUACGGAGAAUACAUCAAUCAACAAAAUAGUAAAUUACAAACCCAGCUAUUUUAAAAGAGGGAACAAAGCAAAGCAAACCAUAAAUAUUUUAAGGAGGAAGAAAAGGAACGAAAGAGGCAAAGUGAAA